ACGAACGCUGGCGGCGUGCUUAACACAUGCAAGUCGAACGGUGAAGGGACCGGUUUUUGCUGGUUCUGGAUGAGUGGCGAACGGGUGAGUAACACGUGAGUAACCUGCCCCCUUCUUCUGGAUAACCGCAUGAAAGUGUGGCUAAUACGGGAUAUUCUGCGCCUGCUGCAUGGUGGGUGUGGGAAAGAUAUUGUUUCGGUGGGGGAUGGGCUCGCGGCCUAUCAGCUUGUUGGUGGGGUGAUGGCCUACCAAGGCGGUGACGGGUAGCCGGCCUGAGGGGGUGGACGGUCACACUGGGACUGAGACACGGCCCAGACUCCUACGGGAGGCAGCAGUGGGGAAUAUUGCACAAUGGGCGCAAGCCUGAUGCAGCGACGCCGCGUGAGGGAUGGAGGCCUUCGGGUUGUAAACCUCUUUCGCCAGUGAAGCAGGCCUGUCCCUUGUGUGGGUGGGUUGACGGUAGCUGGAUAAGAAGCGCCGGCUAACUACGUG
rnacentral:rRNA from 1 species